GGUGGUGAUUGACUAGUAACAUUUCGGCGUAAUGUAUCGUUCGCGGCGAUCGUGUUACAUUACAGUUACAUUACAGCUACGCGGCGAACGCUCGCCCUGAGCGCUCUGUUCGUUUGUGCUCCAUUCUGUUUCAAAAUGUCGGAUAUGGAGGUCGCGUGUGCUUCACUUAUUGUACUAAGUUAUUGCUAUCUAAAAUACAAGAAGAAAAAAACGAAACGAUAUUGGAUAUCUAAUUUGUACCAAAGAAGGAACUAUGAUACGAAUAUAAUGAAUAUUCUUCGAAACCAAGAGUUUACUGGACAAUACAGAAACUUUAUUAGAAUGUCGUCUACCGAUUUCGACCGACUCAUUAAUUUAAUUGGACCGUUAGUGGGCAAGCAAGAUACAAGAUUGAGAAAAGCUAUAUCUGUUACAGAUAGGCUAGCAGUUACACUACGUUUUUACGCUUCUGGAGAUUCUUUUACAAGCUUGCAAUAUCUUUUUAAAAUUUCUAGACAGAGAAUAGGCUUCAUAGUAAAGGAAGUCAGUGAAGCAAUAGUGAAAGUAUUGAAGAAUUGUAUAAAGAUGCCAACAACACCUGAGGAAUGGCAAGGUUUAGUACAACAAUAUGACACAUUAUGGAAUUUCCCCCAUUGCCUGGGCUCUAUGGAUGGCAAACAUGUAAUAAUACAAUCACCGAUGAAUAGUGGAAGUGAUUUUUAUAAUUAUAAAAAUUUCUUUAGCGUCGUAUUAUUUGCUGUAGUUGACGCUAAAUACAACUUUGUAUAUGUAAAUGCGGGAUGUCAAGGAAGAAUAUCGGACGGCGGUGUAUUUAACAACUCUGAACUUUGUCAAAGAAUAAAAAAUAAAUCGUUAAAUAUUCCUGAACCCAACCCAUUACCUUUGCGAACUCUAGACAUCCCAUACUAUUUCAUUAGUGACGAAGCUUUUGCCCUUUCAGAAAAUGUAAUGAAAGUUUACUCGGGAUUCCAUGCAAAAGGGUCUAUAGAGAGAACAUUUAAUUACAGACUUAGCAGAGCGAGAAGAGUAGUGGAAAACGUAUUUGGUAUAGUUUCAGCAGUUUUUCGAGUGUUAAGAAAGCCUAUGUUAUUAGAACCAAACCACGCCUCUUCAGUAGUAAUGGCAAUAACGCAUCUUCAUAACUAUCUCAGAAAAAGUGAUGAAUCCAGUGACAUUUACACACCUUCAGGGACAUUUGAUCAUGAAAUAGAAGGAGUUGUUAGACCAGGAAAUUGGAGAAACGACAGCGAACUUACAAGCCUUUUCGCUUUGGAGAGGCGACCGCGUAGAACAAGUACAACAGCGAAACAAAUACGCCACGAAAUUGCAGAAUACUGUUCACGGGAGGGAGCUUUGAACUGGCAAGAAAGAUAUACUUAGAAAAACUUACCGUAUCAUUUGUAUUUCGUGGUUUAUUUCGGUCCAACACAAAUAGUAAUGGUUUAAAUGCAAACCAUGUACUAGUAUAGAUUUCGUCGGCACCUGAAAAAUAAAUAAUAUCAUUAGGACACUUUAAAAAUAAAUACUAUAAACAAGCGA